rnacentral:pre_miRNA from 1 species
UCCCCAUGACAUUUAGUGCUGAUGUGUCUGUUUUUUUUAUCAAUUAACGUGUGCCACGUGUGUAAUUCCAUUUUUAAAAAAAAUAAAAAAAUGGUAUUUUUCAGAUUUUCAGCACUAAAUUCUAUUGUUGGUCACGUGCCUCCUUCUCUCAAAAUCUGAAAAAUACCAUUUUUUUAUAUUUUUAAAAAUGGAAUUACACACGUGGCACACGUUAAUUGAUAAAAAAACAGACACAUCAGCACUAAAUGUCAUGGGGA